rnacentral:rRNA from 1 species
AACGAACGCUGGCGGCAUGCCUAACACAUGCAAGUCGAACGAGACCUUCGGGCCUAGUGGCGCACGGGGGCGUACCGCCGGGGGAGUUGCACGUAAGUACGGUAUCACUCAGUGUAAUUUGAGCUAAUACAGGUUGAUGUCUUCGCACCAAGGAUCUUUCGCCUUUUGAUGGGCGCGGGUUGGUUUCGCCGGUUGGUGGGGUACAGGCCUACCAAGGCGACGAUCCAUAGCUGGUCUGAGAGGAUGACCAGCCACGCUGGGACUGCGACACGGCCCAGACUCCUACGGAAGGCAGCAGUAGGUAGUAUUGGGCGAGGGGCGAUGGCCUGAUCCAGCAGUGCCGGGUGAGUGAUGAAGGCGUUAGGGUUGUAAAGCUGUUUUACCCGAGGUGAUAAUGACGGUAACGGGUGAAGAAGCUCCGGCUAACUCCGUG